CCAGACAGUCUGGCACCAGAGUCCCAGCUCUUCACCUUCACAGGGAGCGUCUCUGUAAUAAGGGUUCCCUUGGGCACCGGCAGGAACCACCGCCGGGAGUAGUUCUGAAGCAUACUCUGCCUUGCAAUUUACCUCCAUCGCCCAAAGCUCCAUUUCCUCAGGAGCAGGAGUCUGUCUUCAGCUGGACGACAGGAAAUUAAGGGAUUUUUAUCUUCUCCUCCGGCCACAGUGUGGGGGCGUGCUGAUUGUACAUCAGGGGAGAACAAUCAUUCCCCUGACCACUUUUGAUUCAUUCCAUCUCUGGUUUCCAUGGAGCAUCAUAAAAGGAUCUAUGUGUGCGUCAGGACAGCGGACGGACGGAAGCGGCCCGGGGCAAACAGGAGAGGAAGCUUCUGCCUCAUGCGUCUCCAUCCGAAACUAAGAGAUGGUGUAUGAAGACAUUUGGCAGGGGACCCAGAAUCACCUGAAUCCCACCUUGGCCUUCCGACCCCGGCUCUCCACAGUGCCCCAGGGGAGCACUCAACAGCAACUCUGAGGCAGAGACAGACAGAAGACUGGAUCUGUAGGCACAAGAUCCUUUCAGAAGCCAAUCCAGAAGGAAUCUCCCCACCCAAGACUCCACUAUGCUGCAAUGGAGAGAAGAAAGACAUUGAAGUCAGGCAGUUGGUGAUUCGGUAUCCUGGCUUUGCCAUUUCCUUCCUGUGUAACCUUGGGUGAGAUGCUUAACCUCUCUGAGCCUCAGGUUCCUCUUCUGUGAAAGAGAUAAAAAGUCCUCGUUUGUAGAACUCUGGGGACAACUACAGGAAAAAACAUAGGUAAAGAGGCCUAAUAUAUCUUAGGUCUUCUAAUCCCUAAAUUCUCUCCAAACAUUCAGGAUGGGAAUAGACCAAUAGAACACACGCAGAUGACAUAGGCCACAUUGUGGUCUCCAUUCCAGGAGAAUGCCAUCUGGUUGAGUUUCGGCUGCCUUAUGAUGACAAAAAGAAUUCAGGCCAUUGUUGUCUCCAACAGGACACAUACAGGAGAAGCACUGAGGAUGCUUUGAGAUUGUCUGAGGGUGGCUAGAUACAACCUAUUCUUAUUAAAGCUAUUUAUAGUGAGAAGCCUUUCAGGUCAGGCCUGCCUUUCCAGUCCACCUCAUUGGCAAGGUGAUGGGCUCUGGGCUCUGUUUGUUAUAUGUUGCUCGUGGUUUCUAUUGGUUCUGGCUUUGGUGGUUUGUUUCAUUUACACUAGAUGCCAAGGGGACCAUAUGGCCCAGUGAGCUAAGGAACAGCCUGGAUAUCCGGGGACUUUGUGCUGUCUGUGACACUUCAGAAAGUGACUCAGUUAGCCAGUGGUAACAGAAAAAAGAGAACCCGUGACUAUUUCAUCCAUUUGAGCACAGAGACAACUCUAGCCAUUUGAAUGCUUAACAUAUACACCAACCCCUUGAAAGCUAAAGUCUAAUUUGGGCUCCAUGAUUCUAGAGGUCGAGGAGCCAGGGAGGGGCUGGAGGGGGGUGACACCAGGCAACUACUGGCACUUACAAUGUUGUGCAUCCAAAAUAAAAUAGAUAGUUCCUAGAUGUUUUUAAUAUCCAGAUCUCAGAGUCAGGUCAGAGCUCAUAACAAUACAAUGACAACUGGAAUAAAACCGUAUGUGGACAGUGCCUUCCAAUGUACAGAACAUUUUUAUACAGCGUCGGGAAGUCGAUCCUUACCAUUUCUUGGGAGCACAGAAGUUAUCACACUUAUUUGUCUUGGUCAGAGAUCCUUUGGUGGCAUGGAAUAUUUACCCACUACAAGCUACCAAUUGCAUGUGUGAUAGUCAGACGGCAGCACUCUCUAAGUAACGCAGCCCUGCAUCAAAGUGGCAUUUUUCUCCCCAGUCUCGCCCGGAGCUAAAGCUGGGCAGUCGAUUCUUGCUGCCAAGUUUACAACAUGGUUGGGAUGGUGAGAGCUCUACGGAAUUCAUGUGAAAGGUAAUCCACAUUCUCCCUCGUGCAGCUGCUCUUAAAUUUACAAGGACAUGUCCCUACAUGGAGUCUCUGGAUAUUAUACUAAGAUUGUCACAUGUCAUGAACACAGUUCAACGCUGCAACUCAGCCGAUUGGAAAACCUGAUUCAAUUGCAAAUUUGUUUUUGGCAACUGCAUAGCGUCUUCCCAAAAUAUAUUAGAGUUGCCAUUGACAGAUGGUUUGAGAUGGGCCAAGGGAGGCUGUUGACAGAUAUCCUGAGAUGGAUCUUAUUACACUGACAUAUCUAAAGAAUACCCCACGGGAAAUGCCUUCACAGACCUGGAGGCUGGCGGAACAAGAUGGCAGCCCUUCAAGAGAAUUGCCAAUAAAAAGACUGAAAAUGGGCACAGCCUUCUGGAGGUAAUCUGGCAGUAUGUAUGGAAUCUUAAAACAUUUAUACCCCUUGACCCCGUAUUUGUCUCUUCAAGUUGAAAGUGCAGCUCAGACAUGCAUGCAAAGAUUUGUGUGUAGAGAUUUUCACUGCGGCAUUAACCAUAGAAUAAUGAAGAGCUGCAAAUCACCUGAAGUCCCACAACGGGGGGGCAGUUUGAACACACCAGUUAUAUUUAUAUCCGUGCUUACUGUGAUAAAAAAGAAGGCAGGUAAAGAGCUGUCUGUGGAGGGUGAUCUAAAUUUUGCAAAAGGAAAAAAAGGACUGGAAUUUUUUUUUCUUUUUAUUUAUCAAUAAUCACUUUAUUAUUUUUUAAGCAUAUGGCACUUUUUUCUUUUGAAGUUUUUAUUUAAUAUUCUAGUUAGGUAACAUACGGUGAAAUGUUGGUCUCAGGAGUAGAAUUCAGUGAUUCAUCACUUACAUACAACACUGAGGGCUUAUCACAAGUGCCCUCCUUUAUACCCAUCACCCAUCUUGCCCACCCCCCACCCACCUCCCUCCUUCAACCCUCAGUUUCUUCUCUGUACUUAAGAGUCUGUUACCUGGUUUGUCUCUCUUUUUCUCCCUCCCAUAUGGUCAUAUGUUUUUGUUUCUUAAAUUCCACAUAUGAGUGAAAUCAUAGGAUAUUUGUCUUUCUCUCACUGACUUAUUUUGCUUGGCAUCAUACUAACUCCAUCCAUGUUGUUGCAAAUGGCAAGAUUUUGUUCUUUUUGAUGGCUGAGUAAUAUUCCAGUGUGUGUGUGUGUGUGUGUGUGUGUGUGUGUGUGUGUGUGGCAUCCAGUGAGUAAAGGCCAUAUAUAUAUAUAUAUAUAUAUAUAUGCCACAUCUUCUUUAUCAUUUCAAUAGUCAAUGGACAUUUGGGCUCUCUCCAUAGUUUGGAUAUUGUUAGUAAUGCUGCUAUAAACGUGGGGGUGUAUGUCAGAGUGGCUAAAAUUAACAACACAAGAAACAACAGGUGUUGGCAAGGAUGUGGAAAAAGGGGAACCCUCUUGCACUGUUGUUGGGAAUGAAAAAACAUUUUCUAAAUGUUAAUAGUGAGGAUCUGUCAGUGGUGAUAUAAUGAGUAAAUUUUUAUCAUUUCACUUUUUCUGUACUUUUAGUGAAUAUGCCACUUGAAAAGGUCAGAAAAAUAUGUGCUCUUUUAAAUUUAUAUAAACAAUAAUUUAUAAAAAAUUUGGGGUAAGAAAAAAGUCAGCAGUAACCAAUACAACUAUUUAAAUUUAAUAUCCUAGGCUUUGUCCUGUUAUACAUGCAAAUUUUUUAUAUAGUCAGAGAGUACCUAUAUCUUUGUACUCUAUUUUUUAUAAUCUAAGUAAGAAUAACACUUAAGAAGUCUUGGGGCGCCUGGGUGGCGUAGUCGGUUAAGCGUCCGACUUCAGCCAGGUCAUGAUCUCGCGGUCCAGGAGUUCGAGCCCCGCGUCAGGCUCUGGGCUGAUGGCUCAGAGCCUGGAGCCUGUUUCCGAUUCUGUGUCUCCCUCUCUCUCUGCCCCUCCCCCGUUCAUGCUCUGUCUCUCUCUGUCCCAAAAAUAAAUAAAAACGUUGAAAAAGGAAAAAAAAAAAAGUCUAAUGAACCUGGAAAAUUCUGUGUAUAUAUGUGUGUGUGUAUGUGUGAGAGAGAGAGAGAGAGAACCCAUACACAUAUUAAUUGUUUGAAAAAUGAUAAUCAACAUGCAUGGGAUAACUCUCUUAAUCAGAAAAUCUGCUUAUUCAAAAAAAUUUAACUUCGACCUCAUUCUAUAGUGAAAGUAAUUCUCUGUAGGCUUAAAAUCAGGAAAAUACAACUAAACCCCUGAAUUUCACCCGUUCAGCAGAUUUUUGAAAUCUACUAAAAACUCUUCAAGAACAUAAAAUGUAAACAUGAUCCAAUCCACUGGAGAGAGAGAAUAAUGGAUUUGAAAAACCAAUAGAUGAAAAAUCUAUUAAGCGUUAGGAAGCAGUAACAGUGGUAAAAUUAUUUGUGAGACAGAUGCACACAUGAAAUCGAGGGUGACGGCACAACACGAGUCUGUGGCUGUGGCAGUGACUGGAUGUCCAUAAUGGCAACAGCCACAAGGGAAAUUUAGGAAAGUAUGAAAAUUCAGUAUUUAGAAUCAAAAUCAGGCUUGAUGCAGAAAACAAAUCUACCGUCUUCCAAAAACAAUGCAGAACCUGCGGUUGUAUUUUACCAAGGCCUGCCUCACACAAUUCAAGUCAAAAUAUUACUUUCAUCAGAGAAUUAUUUUUGUUCUUCCAUGAAAGAGCACAGGAAAUAUGUUAUGAAAUUGCUUGCCAAGGUCAAAAAAAUCUCAUAAUCUUGACGAGAGGCGGUGGAGGGGGGGAGAAAGAAUACUCGUGCCUUCGUCUAGACCAGUAGUUCUCAACUGGGGGCAAUUUGGUCCCUUAGGGAAUAUCUGGCAAUGACUGGAGACAGUUUUGGUUGUCACAGCUGGAUGGGGGGGAGGGGGGCGGUGCUGGGAGAAUGCCAUUGGCAUCCAGUGAGUAAAGGCCAGAAACGCUCCUGACCCUCUUCCGGCGCUCAGGGCAGCCCCUCCAACAAAGUAUUGGCCCCCAAAAUGUCAGUCGUACCAAGGCUGAGGAACCGUGGUCUGGACAGUGACAAAUGAUUGGGAAGAAAUGGCCAAAUGUAAGGUCUCUGCCCUCUGUCCUCUACCUGGGGGAGGAGGCGGGGGGGGGAAGGUGGUGUGCUAGGGAGGGGCCCCCUUCUCCUCCAAGUCCACCUGCGGCUGGCCUGCGGCCAGGGAGAGAAGGAUGUCCCCCACUCCUGAGGGCUGAGGCCCCAGUUGCAUCUUACAUUAGAUGAGAAAAUUUAAAUACAGUAAAAUCUUGAUUUGACUGGAAUUUAUACA